rnacentral:rRNA from 1 species
CGGAUUCUGGCUCAGGAUGAACGCUAGCGGCAGGCUUAACACAUGCAAGGUCGAGGGGCAUCGGGAGUAGCAAUACUUGCCGGCGACCGGCGCAAGGGUGCGUAACGCGUGAGCAACAUGCCCGUAUCAGGGGGAUAAUCCAUGGAAACGUGGUCUAAUACCCCAUAGUAAUUAUGUAAGGCAUCUUAUAUAAUUUAAAGCUUUGGUGGAUACGGAUUGGCUCGCGUGACAUUAGCUAGAUGGUAAGGUAACGGCUUACCAUGGCUACGAUGUCUAGGGGUUCUGAGAGGAAGGUCCCCCACACUGGAACUGAGACACGGUCCAGACUCCUACGGGAGGCAGCAGUGAGGAAUAUUGGACAAUGGAUGGAAAUCUGAUCCAGCCAUGCCGCGUGCAAGGAAGACGGCCCUAUGGGUUGUAAACUGCUUUUGUAUGGGAGCAAUAAGGGCUACGCGUAGUCCGAUGAGAGUACCAUACGAAUAAGCACCGGCUAACUCCGUGCCAGCAGCGGC